UACAUGGGAGUGAGCCUUUGUGGAGAUGCAAUAUCCAAACAUGCAAUCGAAGAAGGAUGGCCUCGCCAUAAGCGUCGUUUUAUACCUUCAAAAAAUGUGAUCACUGUGAUGAUUAUCUUGUAAAACCCUCGUGUGGGCAUGUAUCG